UCCGUAGGCGGUGCGGCAAGUCGGAAGUGAAAUCUCAGGGCUUAACCCUGAGGCUGCUUCCGAAACUGCCGUGCUGGGAGUGCGAGAGAGGCGAGUGGAAUUGCAGGUGUAGCGGUGAAAUGCGUAGAUAUCUGCAGGAACAUCCGAGGCGAAAGCGGCUCGCUGGAUCGCAACUGACGCUGAGGGACGAAAGCUAGGGGAGCAAACAGGAUUAGAUACCCUGGUAGUCCUAGCCCUAAACGAUCAGGACUGGGCGUGGGCCUCGUACGGGGCUCGUGCCGCAGCUAACGCGUUAAGUCCUGCGCCUGGGGAGUACGGUCGCAAGGCUGAA
rnacentral:rRNA from 1 species